GACGAACGCUGGCGGCGUGCUUAACACAUGCAAGUCGAACGGUGAAGCGAGUGCUUGCACUCGUGGAUCAGUGGCGAACGGGUGAGUAACACGUGAGUAACCUGCCCAUCACUCUGGGAUAAGCACUGGAAACGGUGUCUAAUACUGGAUACGACCAACCCUUGCAUGGGGUGUUGGUGGAAAGAUUUAUCGGUGAUGGAUGGACUCGCGGCCUAUCAGCUUGUUGGCGGGGUAAUGGCCCACCAAGGCGACGACGGGUAGCCGGCCUGAGAGGGUGACCGGCCACACUGGGACUGAGACACGGCCCAGACUCCUACGGGAGGCAGCAGUGGGGAAUAUUGCACAAUGGGCGAAAGCCUGAUGCAGCGACGCCGCGUGCGGGAUGACGGCCUUCGGGUUGUAAACCUCUUUCAGCAGGGAAGAAGCGAAAGUGACGGUACCUGCAGAAGAAGCACCGGCUAACUACGUG
rnacentral:rRNA from 1 species